rnacentral:rRNA from 1 species
GGAGGGUGCGAGCGUUAAUCGGAAUAACUGGGCGUAAAGGGCACGCAGGCGGGCUGGUAAGUAAGGUGUGAAAUACCGGGGCUCAACCUCGGGGCUGCAUUUUAAACUGUCAGUCUAGAGUAUUGCAGAGGGAGACGGAAUUCCGGGUGUAGCGGUGAAAUGCGUAGAUAUCCGGAAGAACACCGGAGGCGAAGGCGGUCUUCUGGGCAAAUACUGACGCUCAGGUGCGAAAGCGUGGGGAGCAAACAGGAUUAGGUACCCUGGUAGUCCACGCCGUAAACGAUGUCGAUUAGGAGAUUGAGCAGAAGCUUGGUUUUCGGAGCAAACGCGCUAAAU